rnacentral:rRNA from 1 species
GACGAACGCUGGCGGCGUGCUUAACACAUGCAAGUCGAACGGAACUUCUUGGAUAGAGGCUUCGGCCAAUUGAAUUGAAGUUUAGUGGCGGACUGGUGAGUAACGCGUGAGGAACCUGCCUUUCAGAGGGGGACAACAGUUGGAAACGACUGCUAAUACCGCAUGACACAUUCGGGCGGCAUCGCUUGAAUGUCAAAGAUUUUAUCGCUGAAAGAUGGCCUCGCGUCUGAUUAGCUAGUUGGUAGGGUAACGGCCUACCAAGGCGACGAUCAGUAGCCGGACUGAGAGGUUGACCGGCCACAUUGGGACUGAGAUACGGCCCAGACUCCUACGGGAGGCAGCAGUGGGGAAUAUUGGGCAAUGGACGCAAGUCUGACCCAGCAACGCCGCGUGAAGGAAGAAGGCUUUCGGGUUGUAAACUUCUUUUAAGUGGGAAGAGUAGAAGACGGUACCACUUGAAUAAGCCACGGCUAACUACGUG